ensembl:lncRNA
GCUGGGUGUUGCCUAGCAGGGGAGAAAAAGCUCCGACGCCAGAAAUGAAGGAGGGAGGAGGACCUCGGAGGGGAGGAAGAGGAGGCGCAGAACCAGGAGACGGAGUUUGGGGGAACAACCGCUGCGGAGCGCGCAGGACCCAGAGGACUCAAAGGGGACCUGGAGGGUGACGACGCCUUCGUGGCCGGGGGUGAAGAGGAGGAAAGCCGCGCGGGCGGAGAGGCGCUGGUGGGUCCCAGGCUGGAGGCUGCGGGUCUGAGAGGCUUCGGAAGCCCAGGGCAGCCCGGGCCACGCCUGAAAACGAGGGCAGCUGAGCGCACGCCAGGGAGAGGCACCCGCGUCCGGGACCGGCCGCGGUGGGAGCCAGACUCGCGAAACCGGCGGGCCUGAGGCUGGGACCUGCGCGGGGGCGGACGCGGCACAGCCGGGGGGCCGGUCCCGCGGGCCCCGCCCCGCCACGCCCCCCAGCCUGGAGCCCCGGCCCCCGUCCGCAGAGGAGACGGCCCCGGAAAAGCCAGAGUCUUGGAAGGGAGCGCGGGACGGAGCCGGCAACAGCGUCCGCGACCCGCGAACCGCGACCCGCGACCCGGCUCUGAAGCGGGGACGACCGGAGCUUCCGCCCGCAGCCCAACCUCCCAGGCGCCCGGCAAGACUGGCUGGCGCGGACCCUUUAAGGAAGCCGGGGGCGUGGCCCGGGGCGGGGCUUCAGGGGCGGGGCCCGGGCGGGGCCUUCGCGAAGCUGCCGGAAGGUGCGGCCCCAGAGCGCCCGCGAGCGGCGCGGUGAGACAUGGCCUCGGGCAGGUGGGAGGCGGCGGUGGGCUGGGGCGGCCUCUGGGAAGGGCAGGCAGCCUUGGCCAGGCCCCUCACCGCCGCCCCCACAGCCAGAUGAGAAGUACGACGUGGGAGACAGGGAGCACUUGGAUACCCUCGGAGACCCAGUGGAGCCCGACGAUGGAGAAGGCGGGGGCUGUGGUGCACCUCAAGCAGGUAGGCCCCUGCACAGGCACCAGAGCCGAGGGCACAGCCUCACCCAGGAAGGCAGCUGGGGGUCCACUGGGGUCAGGGAUGACCCCCUACCAGGGGAGCCCCCAGGCGCCUGAAUGGCCACGGGAAGGAGAACCUGCAAACCCCUCUGUGUGUCCUCCUGGCACGUGGCGACCUCCGUGACCCGAUGAGGGCGCAGGAGCAGGCCAGGGUGGCCACGUGCAGGGGCACAGGGCCCGGGGCAGGGUGACCAGACGCAGGGGUGCGGGGCUGGGCCAGGGUGGCCAGGUGCAGGGGCCCGGGGCAGGGUGACCAGAUGCAGGGGUGUGGGGCUGGGCCAGGGUGGCCGAUCUUGGGGGGGGCCUGGGGCAGUGCCCCGGUGGGGCUGUGGUGGGGGCCGCAGGGCCCUGGGGGGCUGUGGUGGAGUCUGUAGGACUCUCAGUGGUUGUGGUGGGGUCUGCAGGGCCCCGGGGGGCUGUGGUGGAGUCUGCGGGGCCCUGAAGUGUUGUGGGGUCUGCGGGGCCCUGGGUCCCCCUGAACUUAGAUGCAGGCCUCUCCCUGGCAGCCCCUCAAGGCCACAAGGAUCAGUGCUCGGAGCCUGGAGCGCUGUGUGCAGGAGCUUAGCAGGGCCACCGAUGCCAGCGGGAAGGCCAGGCAGGGCUUCUGGGUGGAGUUCGAGGUGUGUCCUGACCUCUGCGACCCUCAGACUCUGUCCCCUGGGGCUGGGAGCACAGGGUCCGGGACUGUAGGGUCCAGCCCUGCGGGGCUUAGCGGGCGUUCUCCCCAUGUGCGGAAACGAGAGAUUGUAAUAAAGACACAAGACAGCGAUAAAGAGAAAGCAGCUGGGCCCAGGGAACCACUGCCAUCAAGACACGGAGACCGGUAGUGGCCCCGAACGGCUGGGGGCGCUGAUAUUUAAUGGAUACAAGACAAGGGGGCAGGGUAAGGAGGGUGAAUCUUCUAAGUGAUUGACAAGGUGAAGCAAGUCAUGUGAUCACGGGACAGGGGGCCCUUCCCUUUUAGGUAUCAGAAGCAGAGCGAAGGCAGCAUACCUCAGCGUUUUCUUCUCUGCACUUACAAGAAAGACCAAAGGCUUUAAGAUUUUCACUAUUUCUUCUACCGCUGUCUACUACGCACUUCAAAGAGGAACCAGGAGUACGGGAGGAGCAUGAAGGUGGACGAGGAGCAUGACCACUGAAGCACAGCGCCACAGGGAGGGGUUUAGGCCUCCGGAUGACUGCGGGCAGCCCUGGAUGAUAUCCAGCCUCCCACAAGAAGCUGGUGGAGCAGAGCGUUCCCUGACUCCUCCAAGCAAAGGAGACUCCCUUUCGCGGUCUGCUAAGUAACGGGUGCCUUCCCAGACACUGGCGUUAUCGCUUGACCAAGGAGCCCUCAAGCGGCCCUCAUGCGGCGUGACAGAAGGCUCACCUCUUGUCUUCUUCGUCACUUCUCACAAUGUCCCUUCAGCACCUGACCCUACACCCACCCGUUAUUCCUAGGUUAUAUUAGUAAUGCAACAAGGAGUAAUAUUAAAAGCUAAUGAUUAAUAAUGUUUAUAAUAAUGAUUGAUAAUUGCCCGUGAUCAUCUCUGUAUCUAAUUUGUAUCAUGACUAUUCUUACUCUAUUUUCUUUAUUAUACUGAAACAGUUUGUGCCUUCAGUCUGUUGCCUCAGCACCUAGGUUCUCUUCUGCCCACACAGGACAAGGUGGGGUUGGCCAUCUAGGGCUCUGGGAAGGAGCCUGGGCUGUGAACUGAAGGCUCCAUCACCUCCAGAUGCUGCAGCAGCAGGAAUGCUGGUUCCUGUACCCUGGAAAGGAGGGGCAGAGGGUAGAGAACAAGCCCAAGAAUCACUGUGAGGGCAGAGGCCAGGGCGUCACCCGUCGGGCCUGGGGAAGGUCGGGGGCAAGCCAAGCAUCUGCCACCACGGACCUGAGGCUUCCCCUCCCACACCCUGGACCCUCCAUCUCUGCUCACCACGGGGUCUGCAGGCAAAGAGGCAGGGUUGGGCCCACGAGCUCUGCCCUGGAGAACUGAGCGGCACCUCCCUUCCCAGUUGACACCACCUGAGUCAUCUUGCUCGACAAGGAUGACAGUGGGCCUGGAGCCGACUACAUCAGGGUGGGUGUGCGCAGGAGGUGGGGCCUGGGCCCAUUGCUCCUGGGGGGCCCAGGAAGAACCAGGGUCCCCAGGGGAGGGGUGGGCAGCAGUCCCCAAGGGGUCCUCAGAGAGGCUGGACGGGCAUAGGUCCUCAGCCCCUUGCUGGCCUGGAGUGAGGAGUGUGUUUGAGCCACCAGAGCUCCUUUGCUUAGUAUUUGCAUAAUAUUUGCAUAGCAUUUGCAUGGACUUGUUUGUCCUCUGGAAACAGCAGCAGUUGGCCUCAUCCCCUUUCAGACUGACCCUGAGGAGGAGCCAGGCCAUGGCGGGUGUACAUCGCCACACAGGGCUGUCUGCAGGCCGUGGUGCACCAGGAGAACAUGCGUGGCAUUGUCACCACCAGCAGGGAGGUGGAGCGAGGCCGGGUAGGGGCGUGGUGCCAGCACUCCCAGUGCCCAUCCCACCCUGUGCAUCUUCAGCUGCCCAAGGCCCUUCCCGACCAGGCCAAGGAGCCUGUGGGACGCUGUGGGAGUGGGGAGGCUCCCACAGAGCCCCAUGGCUGCAUGUACACGCAUGCAUCUCUGCAGGGCGCAGGGGCAGGGUGUUGGGGGCCUGCCGGCAAGGCUGAUGCGAACCACUCCCCCAAGAACAAGUGUUUCCGGGACUGGCCCAGAGUUUGGCUGGGUGCAUGUGGGCAUCCUGGGUGAGGGCCAGGCCCAGGGCUACUGCGUGCAGGAGCUGCAGGUGUGGCGGCCGGGCCAGGUGAGCCUGGC